AGAGUUUGAUCCUGGCUCAGGACGAACGCUGGCGGCGCGCCUAACACAUGCAAGUCGAACGAGCGAGAGAGAGCUUGCUUUCUCAAGCGAGUGGCGAACGGGUGAGUAACGCGUGAGGAACCUGCCUCAAAGAGGGGGACAACAGUUGGAAACGACUGCUAAUACCGCAUAAGCCCACAGCUCGGCAUCGAGCAGAGGGAAAAGGAGCAAUCCGCUUUGAGAUGGCCUCGCGUCCGAUUAGCUAGUUGGUGAGGUAAUGGCCCACCAAGGCGACGAUCGGUAGCCGGACUGAGAGGUUGAACGGCCACAUUGGGACUGAGACACGGCCCAGACUCCUACGGGAGGCAGCAGUGGGGAAUAUUGCACAAUGGGGGAAACCCUGAUGCAGCGACGCCGCGUGGAGGAAGAAGGUCUUCGGAUUGUAAACUCCUGUUGUUGAGGAAGAUAAUGACGGUACUCAACAAGGAAGUGACGGCUAACUACGUGCCAGCAGCCGCGGUAAAACGUAGGUCACAAGCGUUGUCCGGAAUUACUGGGUGUAAAGGGAGCGCAGGCGGGAAGACAAGUUGGAAGUGAAAUCUAUGGGCUCAACCCAUAAACUGCUUUCAAAACUGUUUUUCUUGAGUAGUGCAGAGGUAGGCGGAAUUCCCGGUGUAGCGGUGGAAUGCGUAGAUAUCGGGAGGAACACCAGUGGCGAAGGCGGCCUACUGGGCACCAACUGACGCUGAGGCUCGAAAGUGUGGGUAGCAAACAGGAUUAGAUACCCUGGUAGUCCACACCGUAAACGAUGAUUACUAGGUGUUGGAGGAUUGACCCCUUCAGUGCCGCAGUUAACACAAUAAGUAAUCCACCUGGGGAGUACGACCGCAAGGUUGAAACUCAAAGGAAUUGACGGGGGCCCGCACAAGCAGUGGAGUAUGUGGUUUAAUUCGACGCAACGCGAAGAACCUUACCAAGUCUUGACAUCCCUUGACGAUGCUGGAAACAGUAUUUCUCUUCGGAGCAAGGAGACAGGUGGUGCAUGGUUGUCGUCAGCUCGUGUCGUGAGAUGUUGGGUUAAGUCCCGCAACGAGCGCAACCCUUACUGUCAGUUACUACGCAAGAGGACUCUGGCAGGACUGCCGUUGACAAAACGGAGGAAGGUGGGGAUGACGUCAAAUCAUCAUGCCCUUUAUGACUUGGGCUACACACGUACUACAAUGGCGUUAAACAAAGAGAAGCAAGACCGCGAGGUGGAGCAAAACUCAGAAACAACGUCCCAGUUCGGACUGCAGGCUGCAACUCGCCUGCACGAAGUCGGAAUUGCUAGUAAUCGUGGAUCAGCAUGCCACGGUGAAUACGUUCCCGGGCCCCUUGUACACACCGCCCGU
rnacentral:rRNA from 1 species